UACGAAGGGGGCUAGCGUUGCUCGGAAUCACUGGGCGUAAAGGGUGCGUAGGCGGGUCUUUAAGUCAGGGUGAAAUCCUGGAGCUCAACUCCAGAACUGCCUUUGAUACUGAGGAUCUUGAGUUCGGGAGAGGUGAGUGGAACUGCGAGUGUAGAGGUGAAAUUCGUAGAUAUUCGCAAGAACACCAGUGGCGAAGGCGGCUCACUGGCCCGGAACUGACGCUGAGACGCGAAAGCGUGGGGAGC
rnacentral:rRNA from 1 species